rnacentral:rRNA from 1 species
GACGAACGCUGGCGGCGUGCUUAACACAUGCAAGUCGAACGGAAAGGCCCUGCUUGCAGGGUGCUCGAGUGGCGAACGGGUGAGUAACACGUGGGUGAUCUGCCCCUUAUUUUGGGAUAAGCCUGGGAAACUGGGUCUAAUACUGGAUAGGACCAUGCUGUAGGUGGUGUGGUGGAAAGAUUAGUUUCGGUAAGGGAUGAGCUCGCGGCCUAUCAGCUUGUUGGUGGGGUAAUGGCCUACCAAGGCGUCGACGGGUAGCCGGCCUGAGAGGGUGGACGGCCAAUUUGGGACUGGGAAACGGCCCAGGCCCCUACGGGGGGCAGAAGGGGGGAAUAUUGCAAAAUGGGGGAAAGCCUGAGGCAGCGACGCCGGGGGGGGGAUGACGGCCUUCGGGUUGUAAACCCCUUUCAGCCAUGACGAAGCCCUUGUGGGGACGGUAGUGGUAGAAGAAGCACCGGCUAACUACGU